GGUAAUGAGGAGAGGAGAGUCCUGUGACAGUCUCUGAGAGGGAGCUGAAGAAAUCCAAACAUAACCUCACUUAAGUCUGAGCGAGAGGGAAGAAAACAGAAGAUGGAAGAGAUGCUCUGUGGCUGAUGGAGGGAGAAGGUGACGAGAGAGAAAGAGAGAGAUUGAAAGGCAGAGUGACGGAUGAGAAGCCUCCAGUCCCCAUCCGCCCAGGUUGAGGCGAGCUGACUGAGCGAGGGGAAAUUACACAACCAGCUAUGAGAGAACCCACACAGGGUUAUGGUUGGGGAUUAUGGACUGUCCAGUGCAUGCAGGUAGAGUAUGCACCAGCAUCAGGACCACAGCCCUUUACCUCAGCAUCAGGACCACAGCCCUCUACCUCAGCAUCAGGACCACAGCCCUCUACCUCAGCAUCAGGACCACAGCCCUCUACC